rnacentral:rRNA from 1 species
GGAAAACUUACCAGGUCCAGACAUAGUGAGGAUUGACAGAUUGAGAGCUCUUUCUUGAUUCUAUGGGAGGAGGUGCAUGGCCGUUCUUAGUUGGUGGAGUGAUUUGUCUGGUUAAUUCCGUUAACGAACGAGACCCCCGCCUGCUAAAUAGGUCCGUGAAUGAAUUUCAUUGACGAGAUCUUCUUAGAGGGACUUUUGGUGACUAACCAAAGGAAGUUGGGGGCAAUAA